rnacentral:rRNA from 1 species
AUGCGUAGAUAUCGGGAGGAACACCCGUGGGGAAGGCGGCUUAGGAUGUUCCUACGCUGAAGGCGAAAAUAGGGGAGAAACGGGAUAGAUACCCCCGUAGUCUUAGCUGUAAACGAUGGAUGCCGGGUGUGGGGGGGUGUAAAUUCCCCUCUGUGCUGAAGCAAAACGCGUUAAGCAUCCCGCCUGGGGAUUCCGGCCGCAAGGCUAAAUCUCAAACGAAUUGACGGGGCCCGCACAAGCAGCGGAGCGUGUGGUUUAAUUCGAUGCUACACGAAGAACCUUACCUGGGUUGACAUGCACGUGGUAGGGAACCGAAAGGGGACCGACCUUCGGGAGCGUGCACAGGUGCUGCAUGGCUGUCGUCAGCUCGUGCCGUGAGGUGUCGGGUUAAGUCCCGUAACGAGCGCAACCCUUGCCCUUAGUUACAAGUGUCUAAGGGGACUGCCCGGGACAACUGGGAGGAAGGUGGGGAUGACGUCAAGUCAGCAUGGCCUUUAUAUCCAGGGCUACACACACGCUACAAUGGCCGGUACAAUAGGUUGCGAAGUCGUGAGGCGGAGCCAAUCCUCAAAGCCGGUCUCAGUUCGAAUUGCAGUCUGCAACUCGACUGCAUGAAGCUGGAGUUGCUAGUAAUCGCAGGUCAGCUAUACUGCGGUGAAUACGUUCCCGGGCCUUGUACACACCGCCCGUCACGUCAUGGAAGCUGGCAACGCCUGAAGCCGGUGAGCUAACCCGAAAGGGAGGCAGCCGUCGAGGGUGGGGCUGGUAACUGGGA